ensembl:lncRNA
UAACUCCUUGAUUGUAUGUAGUUAUUAGGUCAGUGCUGGAUGCUUGAAGAAUCCAACAUGUUUGGUGUGCACGGCGGAAGUCUGUUCUUUCCUGACACCUACAUAAGACUAGCAUUUUAUGGAUAUAAUAUCUUUGUUUGUUUCUUCAGUGUAUAGUCUACUUAGUUACAAUAUAGUUACAAUAUUGCUGUAUCUUAGUAUGAUAUGGAUUCCUUUUUCUUUUGUUGUAGUGUUCACCAUCAUCCUAAGACAUAGAAGCCCCCAUGAAAUAGUACUGUGCACAGCUUCAGCAUUUUCAGAGCAGCGACAACAUUAUGCGCGAAAUAUAAUACCAGCCUGAGGUGGAGAAAGAUAAUUCACAGAGCGAGAAGGGAGUUCAUUUUUCAGCUGGACACUUUGAAGAAGCAAAGAAGGCCCUUCUCUUCACUGGUCUGCCUUAUCAUUGAAAAUUGAAAAUAAAUUAAAGCUGUAUGAAAUGGAGCUAACAUGCUAGAACUACAGUAGCCUGGUAAAUUGGAUUUGGCUGGCUAAAAACAUCAUUAACUUAAAGCAUUCUAGCUUACUAGGGCAAAGUGAGCUCUCAUGGACAAGGAUAUGAUCACAUGCUUUCUUCAUUUACAUUUUAACCCCCUUUAGCACUUCUCAAGCCAGCUUAAUGCAGACUUCUUAGAAGCUCAAACAAUGCUUGAAUCUUGAUAGUUUAGAGGCCAAGCUAUGAAGUAUUAUUUUGAGAUACUGUCAUAUGGCAAAAGCGAUAUGACAGUAUCAAAAAUAGCCUUCAAUGUGCUUUUCAUAUCUUUUGUAUUAUUCAAUAAAUUAGUUAAAUUUGACUUGUCCAAACAUGGUUUCUUAGUUAUUGAUUGUACUGUAACCCACCCAUCUAUGAUACAAGUUUUAGUCCAAUGACAUGGGAAUCAAUGGGAAGGCUGAAAUGACAUCUUUUCACUAGAUUUCUCAUUCAGAUUGUAGUGAUUCACAGAGAAAAUGACAAUAGGGUAGUAAGGAUAAAAUUUCCACAUCUGAAAAAAAGCAGUUUGCUUUGGAAUGUCACCUAAUUUUAUCAACAAACAGUUGUAUAUAGCAAAAUCAUGUGUUUUAUUAGGUAGGAUUGAUUAUGAAUAAGAUUACUGCUCUCGGUUUUUAAGUUAGUUUGUUGGAUCACCAAUCAACUGAGUUGAGAAACAUGCAGAGAAAUUAACAGAAGAUGCAAACCAGUAUUUUUAGUAUGGAAAUGAAUCUGUCGAGAAUCCUGCCAUCCCUUGUAUGUGUGUCUUUUGACAUUGUCUUUUUUCAUUGUUCUUUCCAGCAAGAGGCAGGAGGUGUGCUCUCUUCACCUGACAGCAUAGGUAAGUGGUUCUCAACCUGUGGGUCCCCAGAUGUUUUGGCCUUCAACUCCCAGAAAUCCUAAUAGCUGGUAAACUGGCUGGGAUUUAUGGGAGUUGUAGGCCCAAACACCUGGGGAUCCACAGGAUGAGAACCACUGGCAUAGGAGGAUGCAAAAACCAAACUAGAUUAUUGUUUUGUGAUUUUGUUAUGGAAUAUUCCUGCACUAUUCAGUGAAUAUUAGAUCUAAAGUGGAAGAUCAUUGCUAAGUGUAUGAGUUAUGGUUUUCUUCCAGGUGAAGUAAUGCCGUGGUUGCUUCAGUUCAUUUCAGCUCCAUGUAUCAACUGAAUACCACACCAAAAGCAUUCCAAGAGAUUAUCUGGAAACAGAAUUCUCAACUGUAAAGUCAACCCAUGGUGGACAUCUCACAAUCACAUUUUUAUGACAACAUACAGACUCUGGAUCAAAUAUGUCCUCUCAAAGUAUUUUAAAUUACCUCACAUACCUCACAACCUCUGAGGAUGUCUGCCAUAGAUGUGGUGAAACGUCAGGAGAGAAUGCUUCUGGAACAUGACAAUACAGCCUGGAAAAUGUACGACAACCCAGUGAUUCCAGCCAUGAAAGCCUUCAACAACAUUUUAAAUUCAUCCCUAUUCUCAUUCCCAUUCUAAUUUGGCAGAAAAUGUCUCAAUUAAUCUUCUGUCAUUCCACUUUAAUCUGUUUUUAAAAUGUCCUCAUUUCUUUCUCCACUCAGUUUCCCCCUUUGUCCUCAGCUCACUUAAGCUGCUACAAACUGAAUUCAAAGCAGAAAAGUAGCUUGCACUCAGCUCAGCAGGAGAAA